rnacentral:rRNA from 1 species
CCUACGGGCGGCAGCAGUGGGGAAUAUUGCACAAUGGGGGAAACCCUGAUGCAGCGACGCCGCGUGAGCGAUGAAGUAUUUCGGUAUGUAAAGCUCUAUCAGCAGGGAAGAAAAUGACGGUACCUGACUAAGAAGCCCCGGCUAACUACGGGCCAGCAGCCGCGGUAAUACGUAAGGGGCAAGCGUUAUCCGGAUUUACUGGGUGUAAAGGGAGCGUAGACGGCGAGGCAAGCCAGAUGUGAAAGCCCGGGGCUCAACCCCGGGACUGCAUUUGGAACUGUAUAGCUGGAGUGUCGGAGAGGCAGGCAGAAUUCCUAGUGUAGCGGUGAAAUGCGUAGAGAUUAGGAGGAACACCAGUGGCGAAGGCGGCCUGCUGGACGAUGACUGACGUUGAGGCUCGAAAGCGUGGGGAGCAAACAGGAUUAGAUACCCUUGUAGUC